rnacentral:rRNA from 1 species
AUACGUAGGGGGCGAGCGUUGUCCGGAAUCACUGGGCGUAAAGGGCGCGUAGGCGGCCGGUUAAGUCUGGUGUCAAAGGCCACGGCUCAACCGUGGGGAGGCACUGGAAACUGGCCGGCUUGAGUGCAGGAGAGGGAAGCGGAAUUCCCGGUGUAGCGGUGAAAUGCGUAGAGAUCGGGAGGAACACCAGUGGCGAAGGCGGCUUCCUGGCCUGUGACUGACGCUGAGGCGCGAAAGCGUGGGGAGCGAACAGGAUUAGAUACCCUGGUAGUCCACGCCGUAAACGAUGAGUGCUAGGUGUUGGGGGCGUAGGCCCUCAGUGCUGAAGGAAACCCAAUAAGCACUCCGCCUGGGGAGUACGGCCGCAAGGCUGAA